rnacentral:rRNA from 1 species
AUUGAACGCUGGCGGCAGGCUUAACACAUGCAAGUCGAGCGAGCGGCGGACGGGUGAUUAAUGUCUGGGAAACUGCCUGAUGGAGGGGGAUCACUACUGGAAACGGUAGCUAAUACCGCCUACCAUCACAUGCGCCCCGAUGGGAUUAGCUAGUAGGUGUGGUAAUGGCUCACCUGGGCGACGACCCCUAGCUGGUCUGAGAGGAUGACCAGCCACACUGGAACUGAGACACGGUCCGGACUCCUACGGGAGGCAGCAGUGGGGAAUAUUGCACAAUGGGCGCAAGCCUGAUGCAGCCAUGCCGCGUGUGUGAAGAAGGCCUUCGGGUGGUAAAGCACUUUCAGCGAGGAGGCGUUACUCGCAGAAGAAGCACCGGCUAACUCCGUGCCAGCCGCCGCGGUAAUUC